ensembl:snRNA U6 U6 spliceosomal RNA
AGUGCUUGCUUCAGUACCAUAUCCUAAAAUUAGACAGGUACACAGAUUAUUAUGGCCACUGUACAAGGAUGACAUGCAAAUUCACGAAGCAUUCCAUAUUCUU